AGAGCAUUCCCACAAGGUUGCAAUUACCUUGAUGAGGUCACUAUGGCCCAAGGACUGGUCUCAGGCUAGCAGGUUAGGAAACCUGAUUUCCCUGAGCCCUUUCAAAGUAGCUCUGCCACCCCUCAGAGCAGCAAUUAGGUCAAUCAAUAAAUCCACUGACAAUUAAUGAGUACCUACUAUGUUUCCGGAAUUCUACUAGGUAGGAUGGUGUACAAGACUGGCUUGUGUGAAGAACACAGUAUGUGCUGAAAAAGAAAACUGACAAGAUGCUCACCUCGUGGAGAAAAUUGACAGGAAGAAGUAAGGAAAGAAGGAAGACUCCACAGCAAAACUGUGAUGAGGAGCAGGAGACACCGAUUCAAUCCCUGGUCCAGGAGGAUCCAACAUGCCAUGGAGCAACUAAGCCCAUGCAGCACAACUACUGAACCUGGGCUCUAAAGCCUGUGCUCUGCAACAACAAAAUUCACCGCAGCUAGAGAGUAGACCCCGCUCUGUGCAACCAGAGAAAAGCCCACACAGCAACAAAGAUCCAGCACAGCCAAUAAA
ensembl:lncRNA